ACAGUGGACGCGAGCAUCUUGUAGCAACAACAAGCUACUAAGUGCACAUGGUGGAUGCCUUGGCAUCGAGAGCCGAUGAAGGACGUUGGAGUCUGCGAAAAGCCCCGGGAAGGUGACAACCGACCUGUGAUCCGGGGAUGUCCGAAUGGGGAAACCCACCUGGAGGAAAGUCCAGGUACCUCUGCCUGAACACAUAGGGCAGCUGGAGGGAACGCGGGGAAGUGAAACAUCUCAGUACCCGCAGGAAGAGAAAACAACCGUGAUUCCGGAAGUAGUGGCGAGCGAAACCGGAAGAGGCUAAACCUCAGUGAUGUGAUAGCCGGCAGGCGUUGUCACUGGGGGGUCGUGGGGCCGCAAUGCUGGUUCUGCCGAAUCAGCGAAGAGUCACAAACCAUGAGUGAAGUGGAAACCGACUGGAAAGUCGUGGCGUAGAGGGUGAGACCCCCGUACACGUAAGCUCAUGGCUCUUUUGCGUUACCCCGAGUAACACCGAACCCCUGAAAUUCGGUGUGAAUCUAGCGGGACCACCCGUUAAGCCUAAAUACUCCUCGAUGACCGAUAGCGGACUAGUACCGUGAGGGAAAGGUGAAAAGUACCCCGGGAGGGGAGUGAAAGAGUACCUGAAACCAUGUGCAUACAAUCCGUUGGAGCUCUUCCUUGUGAAGGGUGACAGCGUGCCUUUUGAAGAAUGAGCCUGCGAGUUAGCGUGGUGUAGCGAGGUUAAGGCGAGGGCCGUAGCCGUAGCGAAAGCGAGUCCGAAUAGGGCGUUUGAGUUGCACCAUCUAGACCCGAAGCGGAGUGAUCUAUCCAUGGGCAGGUUGAAGCGCGGGUAAGACCGCGUGGAGGACCGAACCCACCUAGGUUAAAAACUGGGGGGAUGACCUGUGGAUAGGGGUGAAAGGCCAAUCAAACUCCGUGAUAGCUGGUUCUCCCCGAAAUGCAUUUAGGUGCAGCGUUGCGUGUUUCUUGCCGGAGGUAGAGCACUGGAUGGGCUAGGGGGCCUACAAGCUUACUGAACUCAGCCAAACUCCGAAUGCCGGUAAGUGAGAGCGCAGCAGUGAGACUGCGGGGGAUAAGCUCCGUAGUCGAGAGGGAAACAGCCCAGACCAUCAGCUAAGGUCCCAAAGAGAUUGCUAAGUGGAAAAGGAUGUGAAGUCGCAGAGACAACCAGGAGGUUGGCUUAGAAGCAGCCACCCUUGAAAGAGUGCGUAAUAGCUCACUGGU
rnacentral:rRNA from 1 species